rnacentral:rRNA from 1 species
GAUGAACGCUAGCGGCAGGCUUAAUACAUGCAAGUCGAGGGACAGCACAGGUAGCAAUACUGGGUGGUAACCGGCAAACGGGUGCGGAACACGUACACAACCUUCCUUUAAGUGGGGGAUAGCCCAGAGAAAUUUGGAUUAAUACCCCGUAAUAUAGUUUGGUGGCAUCACAGGACUAUUAUAGCUACGGCGCUUAAUGAUGGGUGUGCGGCUGAUUAGAUAGUUGGCGGGGUAACGGCCCACCAAGUCUACGAUCAGUAGCUGAUGUGAGAGCAUGAUCAGCCACACGGGCACUGAGACACGUGCCCGAAUCCUACGGGAGGCAGCAGUAAGGAAUAUUGGUCAAUGGACGCAAGUCUGAACCAGCCAUGCCGCGUGAAGGAUUAAGGUCCUCUGGAUUGUAAACUUCUUUUAUUUGGGACGAAAAAGGGUCUUUCUAGAUCAACUGACGGUACCAGAUGAAUAAGCACCGGCUAACUCCGUGCCAGCCGCCGCGGUAAUAC